AGUUUAAUGUAACAUUGAUAAGUUUAGGCUACUACAUGAUACUCUACUUUUCCCUGUAGCCAUCAUCAGGUUGCUACAACCUAGCCAUGAAUGAAAGUUUACAACGUAGGUGCACACAGGUCGAGAGACAAAUUUGAGGUGACAGACAGUGACACAUGGACAAACAGUGACAUUCAAUACCGCCUUGCACACUUUUGCCUGUGUCUAGCUGAUCUAGGGUGUAAUCAUUAGUCCAACAGUUGCCAACGAGAGUUUCUAUUGGACAAAUUCAUUUAUGUUUUUCCCCGUUUUGUUUCCGUUUGCUUUAAUUUAAGAAACGUUUUUCAACAGAAUCGGCGAAACGAAUACACCCCUGAUCACGCAUAAACACAGUUCAAUUUCAUAGCAGCCAAGUUGUAUUCCUUCUCGCAUCUCUCCUCCUCUCACCUCUUCCAUUCACUUGUUGACUUCAAUGCACAACACAUCAGCUGUAUGUGACCAGGCGAAAAAAACUUUCCAAGCCAAACCGCUAAACACAUCCUACAUCGUUGUCACCAAAUUAGUCAUAGUCAGCAUAGCUAAUAGAACUAACACGUUAGUAAACCCGCUACAAUAAUGCAGUAACGUUACAGUGUACAGUCAGUAAGCAGUUACACCGGCGCAUCCCCGUGGCAAUAAAUUAGUAAUACCAAAAGUAUACCUUGACUUGGAAGAGUUCCAGUGUUCUGUUGUACUAGAUGAAUUCUCUGAUCCUUUGAUUGGGUGGACAACAUGUCAGUUCAUGCUGCAAGAGCUCUGAUAACUUUCGGAGGAUGUCCUCCAGCCUGUCAUAAUUACUGUAACCAAUGGGUGUGCCCGAGUCUUUUCACCUUUCAACUAGGUCAGCU
rnacentral:lncRNA from 1 species